UGGGGAAUAUUGCACAAUGGGCGAAAGCCUGAUGCAGCAACGCCGCGUGAAGGAGGAAGGCCUUCGGGUCGUAAACUUCUGUCCUUGAGGAAGAAGAACUGACGGUACUCAAGGAGGAAGCCCCGGCUAACUACGUGCCAGCAGCCGCGGUAAUACGUAGGGGGCAAGCGUUAUCCGGAAUUAUUGGGCGUAAAGAGUGCGUAGGUGGUUACCUAAGCGCAGGGUAUAAGGCAAUGGCUCAACCAUUGUUCGCCCUGCGAACUGGGCUACUUGAGUGCAGGAGAGGAAAGCGGAAUUCCUAGUGUAGCGGUGAAAUGCGUAGAUAUUAGGAGGAACACCAGUGGCGAAGGCGGCUUUCUGGACUGUAACUGACACUGAGGCACGAAAGCGUGGGGAGCAAACA
rnacentral:rRNA from 1 species